GUCAGAAGAUUGAUUGGGUUUCUCUGUUGAAAAUGAGUAAAGAAUGGAUCCAGGAUCCAAUGAACCUGGCCCUCUUCGUGUGGAUCAUAUGUGUUGCUAUUUAAGGUGCAAUUCUGUUCCUAGUCAUGACUGGAAUGUUAAAUGCUGUAUUACCGAAGAAGUCACAGAGAAAUGCAUGGUUUUAAGUAAAUAAUCAAAUACUCAGCACAUUAUUUACUCUUAUGUGUCUUUACCAACAUCCAAAGCGGGUUUACCACUUUAUACUUCUCUGUAGAUGGAAACUGGCGGACAUUUCUAGACUCAGGAAGAUUUACUGCAAGAAUGGGGCCUAUAAGCCCCAUGAGUGGGCACACAUGAUGGU
rnacentral:misc_RNA from 1 species